GACGAACGCUGGCGGCGUGCUUAACACAUGCAAGUCGAACGAUGAAACCUAGCUUGCUAGGUCGAUUAGUGGCGAACGGGUGAGUAACACGUGACUAACCUGCCCCUUUCUCUGGGAUAACGCUCCGAAAGGAGUGCUAAUACCGGAUACUCACAUCGAGGCACAUGCCUUGGUGUGGAAAGUUUUUCGGAAAGGGAUGGAGUCGCGGCCUAUCAGCUUGUUGGUGAGGUAACGGCUCGCCAAGGCGACGACGGGUAGCCGGCCUGAGAGGGCGACCGGCCACACUGGGACUGAGACACGGCCCAGACUCCUACGGGAGGCAGCAGUGGGGAAUAUUGCACAAUGGGCGCAAGCCUGAUGCAGCGACGCCGCGUGAGGGAUGAAGGUCUUCGGAUUGUAAACCUCUUUCAGUAGGGACGAAGCGAAAGUGACGGUACCUAAAGAAGAAGCACCGGCUAACUACGUGCCAGCCGCCGCAGUAAGAC
rnacentral:rRNA from 1 species